GAUGAAGAACGCAGUGAAAUGCGAUAAGUAAUGUGAAUUGCAGAAUUCAGUGAAUCAUCGAAUCUUUGAACGCAUCUUGCGCUCCUUGGUAUUCUGAGGAGCAUGCCUGUUUGAGUGUCAUUAAAUUCUCAACUACACUGACUUUGAAUUGGUGUGGCUUGGAUUUGGGGGGAAAAUUGUUGUGGGCUUUUUGUAUAGUCUGCUCCCCUGAAAUUGAUUAGCGGUACCUUUGUGGAACUGUCUACAGGUGUGAUAAUUAUCUACAUCUGCUGGAAUGCUGCUUUCUAAACCUUACUUGUAUUGACAAUCUUGACCUCAAAUCAGGUAGGACUACCCGCUGAACUUAAGCAUAUCAAUAAGCGGAGGA
rnacentral:misc_RNA from 1 species